ACACGGUAAGGAUUGACGGACUGAAGGCUCUUUCUCGAUUCCGUGGAAAGUGGUGCAUGGCCGUUUUUGGUUGGUGGAUCGAUCCGUCUGGUUAAUUCCGUUAACGAACGAGACCUCGGCACUCCGAAUAGCGCGGCGGACGUCGCGGCCUCCGGGCCGUCUUCCGCACGAGCUUCUUAGAGGGACCGUCCCCCGCCGGGGAAGGAGGUGCGAGGCAACGACAGGUCUGUGAUGCCCUUAGAUGUUCUGGGCCGCACGCGCAUUACACUGACGCGUCCAACGGGUGACUCCCGACCCGAAGGGGCCGGGGAAUCCGCAAGGCGCGUCGUGAUGGGGAUUGAACGUUGCAAUUGUUGUUCACGAACGAGGAAUUCCUAGUAGGCGCGGGUCAUCAACCCGCGCCGAUUACGUCCCUGCCCUUUGUACACACC
rnacentral:rRNA from 1 species